GCAAGUCGAGCGCGCCCUUCGGGGUGAGCGGCGGACGGGUUAGUAACGCGUGGGAACAUACCCUUCUCUAAGGAAUAGUCUCGGGAAACUGAGGGUAAUACCUUAUACGCCCUUCGGGGGAAAGAUUUAUCGGAGAUGGAUUGGCCCGCGUUAGAUUAGAUAGUUGGUGGGGUAAUGGCCUACCAAGUCUACGAUCUAUAGCUGGUUUUAGAGGAUGAUC
rnacentral:rRNA from 1 species